ACCAUCUCAGCUACUGAACAGUCAGGUUCCAGGUAGCAGGGUAACAACCAUCUCAGCUACUGAACAGUCAGGUUCCAGGUAGCAGGGUAACAACCAUCUCAGCUACUGAACAGUCAGGUUCCAGGUAGCAGGGUAACAACCAUCUCAGCUACUGAACAGUCAGGUUCCAGGUAGCAGGG